AUGGGCCCAAGCAGGAAGCAGCAGACUGGGGGAGAGAGGAGAUCACCCAAUGCAGGUCGCAGGGAACAAAACCCCCCGGAGCCUUCACCAAGAAGAGUCAAAGGUGGUGUGUCCCGACCUCUUGGCGGUGGCGAAGUUUGCAGCGGUGGCGGUGGCGGUGAGCCAGAAUGGCCCGUGAGACGGCAACGUGUGUUUCAUCACCCCCGCUGUCGCAGCAUCAUCCGCCACCAUCCGCUCUGAUGGGGCCUUCUUUGGAGGUGAGCAGAGCUAGCUGCAGUUGUCUUUAGUUUUCUUCCGGAAUACUAAUUAUGUUUGCUUAAUUGGUUUUAGUCAUUAAAAACGGGGAGCUUGUUAAAUCGUUUCCCCUCUGUUUUCACCUAGAGCCAAAUUUAGCUAACAAGGUCUGUCUGAAUGUGGACUACUUUGUUCCAAAAAUGAGGCGUUAAUGGUUCAGACUUCAGAGUGCGCCGUCAACUGAUCUCACAUCUUGAAAGCAUGAAGAUAACAUUUUAAAUGACUUACAGCUUCACAUGUGAUAAGCUGCCGGAAUGUUUUUUUAAAAAAAAUUUUUUUUGUUUUUUUUUGUGCUCCAGCGCCGAAUAGCUUUGAGCUGCCUCUUUUCACUUAAUGGCAAAAAGAUGUAAAAAAAAAAAAAAAGGAAGAAAAAAGGUGACAUUUUGUUUUAAUUUCCACUUGAUUAUCUGCGCCUGUGCGCUCAAACAGCAAACCUGCACCCCCGUUUAGAGACCGAGUGAAAACGUGAAAGGCUGGAAAUUAGAAUCGCCAGAGAAAAGUAUGGCCCGGGGAGAAGCAUCAUGUAAUGUGCUCCCCCCCGUAUCCACCCCACACUCUCUCUCUCUCACUUUUGCCAUUUGAAUAUACACAGAAUUAUUUACACCUUCAAGGCAACUUAGACUGAGCUGCACAUCAGUCAAUUAGUAAAUCAGAAAUUUUCUGUGAUUCCAGUUUAGCGUGGAGUCCUUGGCUCCCUCUGGUCCCCCCCUUUUAGUCUCCCAUCCUGACAGUGACAAAUUACUACUCCGCUUGGCGAGAUUGAAAAUUAAAAGCAUUUAAAGUUGCUCAUGCAUUUAUGCUAAUGAGAAAUUCCGAUAUGAUUUGCAUGCCAAAGAGGCUCGUCUCAGGCUCAUCAGGGCCCCCACCUCCUCGAGCCCCGCGCUUUCUUUUAGGCUCUGUUUUUUUCCCCCCUUUAUGUGUGAGCAAAUAAGGAGAUGUCGAGUGUAAACACUCUUCAAAUGUGACAUAUUUUAUGGCUGUGUGUCAGUAAGUACAUCCAAGAAAUUGUAUCAUUGCCUCUAAGAAGGUAUUUGUACAGUAUAUAUGGUGCAACCUACCAUUGGUCGCAUCACACCGCACUAUAAACAUAAUAUCACUGCUCCUGCUGUCGUGCAUUUGAAGAGACGCACCUACCAUCAUAAAAUUGACAAGGCAACGUUUAAAUUAUGAGCAUUACUUUUUGGGCACAAGCUUCUAAAGUAUUAUAUUAAAAUGAUGGUUCUACGAAAAAGGGCUUUGUUCCGUUAACAAACAAGGGCAGAACACUUUGGAGCCCCUGGAUUUAAAACCAUGCGGCGUUUUGUUUUUCCCACUAAGCUCCAUCCACGUCUUCCUCCAGAAAAUAUCAAAGCGCACACUUCUUUAAUUUUGUUUGUUCCACCGUUUCUAAAUGAUUGUAACCUUGGAAACGCGACGCUUUAAUGAAGGUGGCAGAUGAAAUGGGACUUUAAUUUGUUUCACUGUUCGUAGCCGAGGUGAAAUGGAUUAGCUUUGAUUGAGGUGUGAGACGAAGGAGGGGAAGCGCUGACAUGACACUUGUAUUUGUCAUCAUGUCAUUUCAAGGAGGAUGCUGCAGCAAUUACGAAUAGCGGGUACACAGCAAUUAGAAGUGGUAGUAUUCAUUAAUAAUUUUUUAUUUAUUUAUGAAAUUUUCAGUGGCCUCUGAAAUGAUUGUCACUGCACACAGGAUUUCCAAUUAUGCUGCUUAAUUAGAAAUGUCAAUAUUAAGAAAUAAUUAAACUUGGGGAAUAUAUUAAGGUUGUCAGAAAUGCUUAAAAAGUUGUGACCAUCGCUCAAACGGUGUUUUCCCGAAUAUGCUUGGCAAUGAUUUGUAAAUUAAAGAUGAGACUUUGAUCAAUGUGUCGGGCAAACUUAAGUGGAUAUUAGUGAGUGACAUGAUCACCUAUGUUUUUUUUCGAAGCACUGCCAUUACAGCAUGAGAAUGAAAUUAACGUUUGCAGGAUAAAUAUAUCUCAUAUAUAUAACUCCUAGUAAAUAUCUGUUCUCUGUGUGUGUGUGUGUGCGUGUGUAUGUGUGUUCGCGCAUGUGUGUUUUGAAUCUGCUAAAUAACCCACAAAUAAUUGUGUUAUUCCACUAUAUUGCUUCAUAUGUAUUUUUAAAUACUUCAAAUCAAAAAAUCAACCUAAGUAAAUUGAAAUAACCUCCAUUGAACCGAAGUUUUUCUUCUUUUCUCUUACACAUAUAUUCAUUGUAUUGUUUUAUCGUUGCCAUCACAGCGCAAAUUGAACUCAUUGGUUCAUUAGCAUUGAGCUCACACUGUAAUCUUGGAUGCUCCGAGCAAUAUUUGUGAACAUGGGCAGUAUUCUCCCUUACGAAAGCUAUUUUAUCUAUUUCUGGAAAUGUUAU
rnacentral:lncRNA from 1 species